GAUGAACGCUAGCGGCAGGCUUAAUACAUGCAAGUCGAGGGGCAUCAAGGUACACGAAAGUGUAUUGUUGGCGACCGGCGGACGGGUGAGUAAUAGGUAGGUAACCUACCUCAUACUGAGGCAUAGCUGGGAGAAAUUCCAGGUAAUUCCUCAUGAGGUUAUAUGACACAUGUGAUAUAAUCAAAGGUAUCGCAAGGUACUGGUAUGAGAUGGGCUUACUGACCAUUAGCUAGUUGGUGAGAUAAGAGCUCACCAAGGCGAAGAUGGUUAGGGGUUUUGAGAGAGAGAUCCCCCACAUUGGAACUGAGAUACGGUCCAGACUCCUACGGGAGGCAGCAGUAGGGAAUAUUGGGCAAUGGGCGGAAGCCUGACCCAGCCAUGCCGCGUGAAGGAAGACGGCCUCAUGGGUUGUAAACUUCUUUACUAUGCGACUAACUAGAUUUACGAGAUAAUUCUAUAGAAUGUAGCAUAGCAAAAAGCACC
rnacentral:rRNA from 1 species